AUCUGAUUCACCAAUAUGAACUGCUGCUCCAUUUUCUGAAAUCCAUCGACAUGAUUUUACAUUAUGUCCUUGGUGAUUACAAUUCGUGCAGUAUGCAGGAACAUUAUCAAACACGAUCUGCUGGUCGAAAUCUGCUACUUUUCCAGAUUUCGAAUCUACUAUCUUGAUCUUUAUUUGCGUUGGAUGUUCGUCCAGUAAAUUGAUCAAUAC
rnacentral:lncRNA from 1 species